GUUAGGAAUUGAAGCUCUGGUGUCUAGUUGCCCAGGCUCCCUCUGCAUCAAGAGGGAAAGAAGAGCACUUUUGGAGGGCAGGCUCCUGCCAUGCCACCUUGCUGGUGAGCACGGGAGGGCUGUACACCUCACCGUGUUCUGUCACUCCUGUGUCUUAAACCUCACGGCAGCACUGCUCUGCUGCCUUCCCACCCUGCAGCUGCUCCUCCCUGCCCUGGCAAUGCCCAGGGAGCCCUGCUGCCACCCUACCAGGGGAGAAAAACAAGCCAACACCGACCUGCCAAAAAACACUGUCCUACCCCAAACUAAUUCCUGCCUUUGGCUUGCACCGAGGGCAGCCGGGGCUGAGGAAAGGACCAGCAACCAAGCCAAGGAGCCCGUGCCACCCCAUGUCCACACUCGGUAGCCAAACGCCCUCUUCUGCAAACGAGGCCAUGAUCUGUGAUGGGCUCUGGAAGAGCUGAGCCCUUUCCCAGCACUGCAGAGAGGUUUGCAGCAGCAGCACGGUGUGGGGGAGCCCUCCCUGCCCGCAUUGCUGCCAGGCAGGUGCCACUCGUGGUGUCACCUGGUGUGGCACCGUGACUCACCGGCACAGCCGGGCUGUGGCGCUCGCAAUCCAGCCCAGCCUGCUUCUCACUCGAGUGGCUUUGAAAGUUUGAGAAAGUUUGCUUUACUCUUGGUUCCUCAUUUUUGCACAGCUCGCUCCAUCUGGGCCUGCAAGUCAAAGCACUGAAAUGUUACAAUAACAGCUGUGGUUGCAAGCCUCCUAUCCCAGCUGAUAAUUAAAUACAGAAUAUCUCAAGAAAAACUCAUAUCUAGAGAAGACAAGCCCAGCUGUUUAAAAAAAAAAAACAAAACAAAAAACAAACCAAAACAACUGAAAUAAACAUCUGAAUCUGCAGGUGCUUGUGCAAAUUAAAGCUGCUCUCCCCUUCUCAGGUUAAAGAUUUAGCUGAGGUCAUGAAGGACAUCUCCUAUUGUUUAAAGCUGCUGGUGCAUAAACUCCUAGUUGUGUUAAGCAGCUAUUGGCAGGGACACAAAAUGUCCACGGCCACAGCCAUCGCUCCCAACAUCUACAGUUUGGAAAGAUGGAUUCUCUGCAGGCACUGCCUGAGCUUGUUAGCUUGCCCUGUGCCUUGCCAGCCUGCCAGGCAGUGCAGGGGCACAGAGCCCUGAGCUACAGGGAAAGGUUAUUUACUCAAGGCUGGCUGAGGGCAGGGCUUCACCUGGAGCAGCUGGCCUCAGCCAAGAUAGGAUUGAUGGUGCCUGCACAUUAGUGGCUUAUAUGGUUGGGAAGAGGAUGGUUUGGUGGGAAGAACGGCCAGUGCUUGUGCCCAGGGGCAGGAAGGGCAUUUUGAAGAACACACUGCACAUCAGUGCUUUUGUGGAAGACAGACACACUUGAACUCUUGGAGAAGUGUGCUUCAUAAAUCAGGGAAAAGCUUUCCUGAAAAUAGAAGCUUGGAGCAAACAGGGAAGGUGAUGGGUAAACAGCUUGCACAAUUAAAUGGGCUGCUGCCACCUCCCAGUUCCCCUGUCUAUUUCCUGCUGAUCCUGAUGAACUGUCAGUAGUUACCUGUGUGGGUUGCAUGCACACAGGGCAGGGUUUGCUCACUGAAGGCAUUCCAUGAUUUUUUUCUUAUUAGAGUAAUAAAUCCA